GCGCACCUUACCGUGGACAACAUCUUGCAAGUCCUAUCGGAAAGAGGCAUUGACUGGCGCCGCAUCAUCGAGGACCCACAGUACGCGCCAAAGAUAUUAUCCGCCCUGUCGGAUGAUGAGAGUGAGGAGGACGAGGAGAGUGAGGAAGACGAAAGCGGAAGCGAAGAGGAGGGAG